rnacentral:tRNA from 1 species
AUCCCUGUAGCUCAGUUGGUAGAGCAUGGUUUUUGCAACGCCAGAGUUGUGGGUUCGAUUCCCACAGGGGGCA